rnacentral:rRNA from 1 species
UACGGAGGGUGCGAGCGUUGUCCGGAAUCAUUGGGCGUAAAGGGCGCGUAGGCGGGAUGGCAAGUCGGUCGUGAAAUCCCUCGGCUCAACCGAGGAACGUCGAUCGAUACUGCUGUUCUUGAGGAUUGCAGAGGAGACUGGAAUUCCCGGUGUAGCGGUGAAAUGUGUAGAGAUCGGGAGGAACACCGGUGGCGAAGGCGGGUCUCUGGGCAAUUCCUGACGCUGAGGCGCGAAAGCGUGGGGAGCAAACGGG